rnacentral:rRNA from 1 species
GAUGAACGCUGGCGGCGUGCUUAACACAUGCAAGUCGAACGGAAAGGCCUGUACUUGUACAGGUACUCGAGUGGCGAACGGGUGAGUAACACGUGGGUGAUCUGCCCUGCACUAUGGGAUAAGCUUGGGAAACUGGGUCUAAUACCAUAUAGGACCACUUCUUGGAUGUUGUGGUGGAAAGCUUUUGCGGUGUGGGAUGAGCCUGCGGCCUAUCAGCUUGUUGGUGGGGUAAUGGCCUACCAAGGCGGCGACGGGUAUCCGGCCUGAGAGGGUGUACGGACACAUUGGGACUGAGAUACGGCCCAGACUCCUACGGGAGGCAGCAGUGGGGAAUAUUGCACAAUGGGCGCAAGCCUGAUGCAGCGACGCCGCGUGGGGGAUGACGGCCUUCGGGUUGUAAACUCCUUUCGCUAUCGACGAAGCCACUUGUGGUGACGGUAGGUAGAUAAGAAGCACCGGCUAACUACGUGCCAGCCGCCGCGGUAA